UAGGGAAUUUUCGUCAAUGGGGGCAACCCUGAACGAGCAAUGCCGCGUGAGCGAAGAAGGUCUUCGGAUUGUAAAGCUCUGUUGCCGGGGAAAAAAGGAAGGAAAGAGGAAAUGCUUUUCUUUGGAUGGUACCCGGCCAGAAAGUCACGGCUAACUACGUGCCAACAGCAGCGGUAAUCUGUAUCU
rnacentral:rRNA from 1 species